AGACGUAGGAGGCAAGCGUUAUCCGGAUUUAUUGGGCGUAAAGCGCACGCAGGCGGCGAGGUAAGUCGGGUGUAAAAGCUCCGGACUCAAUUCGGAGAGGUCAUUCGAGACUGCCUGGCUUGAGAACGGGAGAGGGAAGUGGAAUUCUCGGUGUAGUGGUGAUAUGCGUAGAUAUCGAGAGGAACACCAGUGGCGAAGGCGGCUUCCUGGCCCGGUUCUGACGCUAAGGUGCGAAAGCGUGGGGAGCGAACGGACUUAGAUACUCCGGUAGUCCACGCCGUAAACGAUGGGUACUAGGUGUGGGGGGCGUAAAGCCCUCUGUGCCACAGCUAACGCACUAAGUACCCCGCCUGGGGACUACGGCCGCAAGGUUAAA
rnacentral:rRNA from 1 species